rnacentral:rRNA from 1 species
GGGAGGCAGCAGUGGGGAAUAUUGCACAAUGGGCGCAAGCCUGAUGCAGCCAUGCCGCGUGUGUGUAGAAUGCCUUCGGGUUGUAAAGCACUUUCAGCGGGGAGGAAGGCGGUGAGGUUAAUAACCUUGGCGAUUGACGUUACCCGCAGAAGAAGCACCGGCUAACUCCGUGCCAGCAGCCGCGGUAAUACGGAGGGUGCAAGCGUUAAUCGGAAUUACUGGGCGUAAAGCGCACGCAGGC